GAGCGGGUUCUGCUUCUCUGCUCUGCCCUAGAGAGGCCGCGGGUUCGAGGAAAUCACGGGAAAAUCGCUCAGGAAAGGCAUGGAGAUAACCGUGAGGAGAGCGGGUCCUCCCCUCUGCUCCGCCCUGUGCCCUAAGCGAGUGCACGGGGAUAAGGCGCUGCUGGGCAGGGGCCAGCACGGGCCACAAAGAUGAUUUGGAGCAUCUCUUAUGGGGAGAGACUGAUUUUAUGCUCCCUGUGGCUCAGCCUAAGCCUGGUAGCUGAAUAUACAUUUACAAUAUCGACAUCUCUGCUAUGGACUUUUUCCCAGUUUUAGUCUGGCCAAAGCACUUAGUUUCACAUUUAGCAGAACGGCCCAGACCUUCCAGCAUUGUUUUCAAUUUGGCCCUGGAAGAGUUGGGCCCAAAUCCAGGAAGUUAUUUAGGAUUUGAUUUCAGCAGGAUAUAGAUGCUUUACAUAUUUAUAAAGGUUGCUUUCAUUUAAGAUUUGCUGAUCUCUCAAUACCUGUGUAUAGUCUGGAACCUCAUCCUCUUCCAGAUGAGGCUGGUAAGUGAUGACAGGUAUUUUUGAGGUUCUUAUCAAUUUUCUGGUUAUUUGCCCUCAAUUCCACAUUGUACUUAUACUCUGAGCACACACUAAAUGUCAGCUUCUGGGCAUUUCUUGCAUGUAAAGAGCCUCAAAAAUUUGAUGAUAAUUAACUGUCAUGACUGUUGUUUUCUGUGCCUGGUAUAAUUUUUUGUUUUGCUUCCAAUUGGCAUGGCCUUCUCUGUGUCUCCUUGUGCUCUUUAUGGUCCAAGGGGUCUUGUUUGUGCAAAUUUGGGAACACUAUUUCUCUGUGUGAAUUCCCAUGGUGGAAUCCCCUCAAAAUCCCUUCUCCAAAGUGCCUGUUGUUUCUUCCCAUCUGUUCUCCACAGAUUUCCAGAGGCCUGUGGUGGUGGCUGCCUUAUCAGGGCUGUAGUUUGCACAAGGUCAGGAUAAUUUGGGAAACUUUCCUGGUAUUUAAUUGAUGUGCUGACCUGUCUCAAUGAGCCUAUUUCAGAUUGCAGGAAGAUGGAUUCUCCAGCCAGUUUUGCCACAACAGACUGUGGAUCCCAAGCCCAUUGAACCCUCCUGGAGCUGGACACUGCAGCUGCUGUCCUGCCCUCUCCCUUAUCUGUGUGCUUGGCAGGUGUCUGCCCAUGGAUUUCACACUUCCACUGACCUCUGAGCGCUGCCAGAGCCAGGGAGGCACAUCGGGCAGAUAACGUGUCCCCAGUGUCCCCGUUCCACCUCUGCCUGCCCGAGUCCUUAGGUUCUGGGGAGAGUUACUUAAAAAUACGCCAGAUUUAAAGUCUGUCUCAAAAAAAAUAAAAAUUCGGCAUUGUUCAGAUCA